UACAGAGGGUGCAAGCGUUGUUCGGAAUUAUUGGGCGGUAAAGGGUGCGUAGGCGGUGCGGUAAAGUCUGUUGUGAAAUCUCCGGGCUCAACUCGGAGUCUGCAACGGAAACUGCCAUGCUUGAGUAUGGGAGAGGUGAGUGGAAUUCCCGGUGUAGCGGUGAAAUGCGUAGAUAUCGGAGGAACACCUGUGGCGAAAGCGGCUCACUGGACCAUUACUGACGCUGAUGCACGAAAGCUAGGGGAGCAAACAGG
rnacentral:rRNA from 1 species